CCUACGGGUGGCAGCAGUGAGGAAUAUUGGUCAAUGGACGAGAGUCUGAACCAGCCAAGUAGCGUGAAGGAUGACUGCCCUAUGGGUUGUAAACUUCUUUUAUAUGGGAAUAAAAUGUUCCACGUGUGGGAUUUUGUAUGUACCAUAUGAAUAAGGAUCGGCUAACUCCGUGCCAGCAGCCGCGGUAAUACGGAGGAUCCGAGCGUUAUCCGGAUUUAUUGGGUUUAAAGGGAGCGUAGGUGGAUGGUUAAGUCAGUUGUGAAAGUUUGCGGCUCAACCGUAAAAUUGCAGUUGAAACUGGCAGUCUUGAGUACAGUAGAGGUGGGCGGAAUUCGUGGUGUAGCGGUGAAAUGCUUAGAUAUCACGAAGAACUCUGAUUGCGAAGGCAGUUCACUGGACUGCAACUGACACUGAGGCUCGAAAGUGUGGGUAUCAAACAGGAUUAGAUACCCGAGUAGUC
rnacentral:rRNA from 1 species